CCCUUAGAUGUUCUGGGCCGCACGCGCGCUACACUGACGAAUGCAACGAGCUUAUAACCUUGGCCGAAAGGUCUGGGUAAUCUCCAAAUUUCGUCGUGAUGGGGAUAGAUUAUUGCAAUUAUUAAUCUUCAACGAGGAAUGCCUAGUAAGCGCAAGUCAUCAGCUUGCGUUGAUUACGUCCCUGCCCUUUGUACACACCGCCCGUCGCUCCUACCGAUUGAAUGGUCCGGUGAAGCGUUCGGACCGUGGCCUUUGGACGGUUCGCCGUCUGUUGGCUGCGGGAAGUUCGUUAAACCAUAUCAUUUAGAGGAAGGUGAAGUCGUAACA
rnacentral:rRNA from 1 species